CCACAGGUCGGGGCGGCGGUCUUCAAACCGGCGCG
rnacentral:tRNA from 2 species